AACGAACGCUGGCGGCGUGGAUAAGACAUGCAAGUCGAACGAUCACUAUUGGGUAGCAAUAUUCGGUAGUGGGAGUGGCGCAAGGGUGCGUAACACGUGGGUAAUUUGCCGUAAAGUCUGGGAUAACUUGCUGAAAGGCGAGCUAAUACCGGAUGUGAUUGCUGGAGGGCAUCCUCUGGCACUUAAAGUCGGGGACCGUAAGGCCUGACACUUUUCGAUAAGCCCGCGGCCUAUCAGCUAGUUGGUGAGGUAACGGCUCACCAAGGCUAAGACGGGUAGCUGGUCUGAGAGGACGACCAGCCUCACUGGAACUGAGACACGGUCCAGACACCUACGGGUGGCAGCAGUCGAGAAUUUUUCUCAAUGGGGGAACCCUGAAGGAGCGACGCCGCGUGGGGGAUGAAUGGCUUCGGCCCGUAAACCCCUGUCAUUUGCGAUCAAACCUUACGACCUAACACGUCGUGAGCUGAUAGUAGCGGAAGAGGAAGGGACGGCUAACUCUGUGCCAGCAGCCG
rnacentral:rRNA from 1 species